GAUGAACGCUGGCGGCGUGCCUAAUACAUGCAAGUCGAGCGAACAGACGAUGAGCUUGCUCCUCUGACGUUAGCGGCGGACGGGUGAGUAACACGUGGAUCACCUACUUAUAAGACUGGGAUAACUUCGGGAAACCGGAGCUAAUACCGGAUAAUAUAUUGAACCGCAUGGUGCAAUAGUGAAAGACGGUUUUGCUGUCACUUAUAGAUGGAUCCGCGCCGCAUUAGCUAGUUGGUAAGGUAACGGCUUACCAAGGCAACGAUGCGUAGCCGACCUGAGAGGAUGAUCGGCCACACUGGAACUGAGACACGGUCCAGACUCCUACGGGAGGCAGCAGUAGGGAAUCUUCCGCAAUGGGCGAAAGCCUGACGGAGCAACGCCGCGUGAGUGAUGAAGGUCUUCGGAUCGUAAAACUCUGUUAUUAGGGAAGAACAAAUGUGUAAGUAACUAUGCACGUCUUGACGGUACCUAAUCAGAAAGCAACGGCUAACUACGUG
rnacentral:rRNA from 1 species